rnacentral:rRNA from 1 species
AUUGAACGCUGGCGGCAGGCCUAACACAUGCAAGUCGAACGAGUGGCGGACGGGUGAGUAAUGUCUGGGAAACAGCCUGAUGGAGGGGGUUAACUACUGGAAACGGUAGAUAAUACCGCAUACCAUCGGAUGUGCCCAGAUGGGAUUAGCUAGUAGGUGGGGUAACGGCUCACCUAGGCGACGAUCCCUAGCUGGUCUGAGAGGAUGACCAGCCGCACUGAAACUUAGACACGCUCCAGACUCCUAUGGGAGACAUCAGUGGGGAAUAUUGCACAAUGGGCGCAAUCCUGAUGCAUCCAUGCCGCGUGUAUGAAGAAGGCCGUCGGGUUGUAGAGUACUAUCGGCGUGGAGGCGUUACCCGCAGGAGGAGCACCGGCUAGCUCCGUGCCAGCCUCCGCGGUAAUUC